AUCAGGUAUGGUGGUGCCUACCUGUAAUCCCUGCUACCUAGGUGGUUGGGGCUGUCAGAACUCUUGAGCUGGGGACACUAUGCUGUUAAGGUGCCCAAACUACAUUCAGCAUCAACAUGGAAAGUCCCUGAGAGCAGGGAACCACCAGGUUGCCUAAGGAGGGGUGAACUAGCCUAGGUCGGAAAAUGGAACAAAGUUCCAGUGUUGGGCAGUAGUGGGAUCAAGCUCAUGAAAGACCCCUGUGCCCUCAACCUAGGUGAAAUGUGGAGACCAU
rnacentral:SRP_RNA from 1 species